GGGACUGCGGCCCUUUGGAGGCCGUGCGCCCGAGGCCGCCGCCGGCCCUAGGGGUGCCGUGGGCCCUCCGUGCCCGUUCUUCGGUCUGUCGUUGGGCUGUGUUUUACCGGAAGGGCCUGUGUGGGUUGGGAAGGGUUGCCGAGAACCAUGUUGCUAAGAACCAAACACUCGUGAUUCUGGGAGGCGGUUGUUGGUGGUGUGACACCUCUCAGAGCCACGGGGCGGAAACGCGGCCUCGCCAGAUGCCAGCCCAAAGCUGCAUUUCCGGUCCGGGGGCGCGGUCAGCUCCGCCUGCAGACCUGUCUUUCUGCCCCCCUGACCUCGCCCCCACGGGAACUCUGUAGCCUUCUUAUUUCUGGUGCAGACGGUUGCCAGGCCUCCCUCUCCCCCUGCAGUGCGGCUCUCCACCUUCUCUGAAGCCGGAGGAGCAAAACACUCCGUAGACAUCACAGAAGGAUCCCAUUUCCACCGCAGUCCCACGCGGAGCUCGGUGCCAGGCCGGGCCUUCCCUGGAUUCUGGCUGUCCAUCACAGGCGGGCGGCAUUACUUCUGAGUCUCAGGGUUCUUCAGUGUCUUCUGGUGGCAAACUGGUUUUGAGCUUCUUUGGUGAAAGUUACUGAAUAAAUACCAAGUGUGAUUUCGAAAUACCGAAAAUCUUGGUCGGACUUAAACAGAUAAGCAACAAGGACCCUUAAAGCCAUCACUCCCUGUGGAAUGGGAGCUUAGCUAGAAAGGAAAGUCUGUUAAUGAGUUGUGUUUCCUCCUCAGCAUCACAGAUAUCACCUUUGGUAGCAGAGCCCUUCAUGACGGCCGCCUAGGUUUUCUGAGCUCACAGCCUGGAAGAUCAUUGGCAGUUGCAUGGAGAAAGAACAUUACUUAGUCACUAUUGAACAUGAACAACAUCAAGCUACCAGAACUAUUUGAUGACGGUUCCAAAUGCAUGUACAGUAGACACUGCAGCGGGGAUGGCCGGAGCCAGGCAGGCCUGGGUGCAGUCUGCAUUGAAUGCUGUGACAGCAACUUUGCAGAGUGCCCUCUCGCACUCCGGGACCCCUCGGGGAUGUCAGAGAGCUGGUUUUGGCCCGAGCCCCACAGGCCAGGUCGAGAGACUCCACCUGCCAGAGGGACCCCGCUCACUCCACAGACGCCUUUUGAGCCACGGCGCCAUCCCAGGUGCAGCCGGCCAGGGAGGGAUCUCAGGAGGUUGGCUCCAGGGCGUGUCCGGCCCGUCUCGCCCAGUCCCACCCCACUGACCACCUUCUAAUUAAUUUCCUUUCAAUGUGCACGAAUCCGUCACCAGUUCUAUCAUAAACACCCUAGGCAAGACAAAGGCUGGGUGUUUGUGCCAAAAGAAAUGCACACCGUGGAAUGAACACCCGACAGUCAUUUCAGAGGUGCGUCUGAGCUAGGGAAGCCCUGGAUACUGAUUCUUCAAGAAUGGCUGCAUCCAAAGACUGCAACUCCAAAUCCAUAGGAAUGGAAUACGGAGAUGUUCCCUGCCAUUAGCUGUGUCUUGCAUUACGGAAUCUUAGUUAUUUCCUUGACGGUAAAGCUAAGGAAUUACAUCACAUUGGGUGGAUCUGGGCAGGAUGGUUCAUGAUAGUAGAAUCUUUAGCAGGAAUCCUAAAAAUGCGGGAAAUGCAAGAUAACCUCUUCUGUGGCUAAAAUCAGCAAUUAUUAUGGACAUACAUAUAGUUUUUGGUUCCAAGGUCACUUCAAAGGACAGAGGUCAGUGACUGACAUAUUGUGGUGUUGUCGUGGGACUUUUGGCUAAAGGGAGAUAGAGAGCUAGGUAUAUACAUACAAAAAUGCAUGCAUACAUGAAAGAUGGGGCAGCUUCACCAGCUGAAAGGAAAGCCUGUUAGGCCCUGGCCGGCGUGGCUCGGUUGGGUAUCGUCCUGUGCACUGAAAGGUUGGCGGUUCGAUUCCCAGUCAGGGCACAUGCCCAGGUUGCUGGCUCGAUCCCUGGUAGGGGGCAUGCAGGAGGCAACCAAUAAUGUUUCACUCUUUCCCAUCAAUGUUUCUCUCCCUCUUUCUUCGUCUCUUAAAUAAAAAAUAAAAGAAAAGCCUGUUAGGAAGGAACUGGUUCACACAAAGAGGAAUAGGUGGUCGAGAUGGGUAGACCUUAAACCUCUGGCGGUUGUCUAGAGGUUUCCCAGGCAUUGUCCAAGGACGAGAAGCUUCCCAGGGGGAGCCAGUGGCAUUCAUCCUAGACCGGCCACAUGGCAACUCCUGGCCAGUAGAAGUGUUCCCAUCAGAGGAAUUAUUCAAGUAAGGUAUUUCAAUCUAGGUAUUCAGGACUGAAAUUUCUGGUGAUAAGGUGAACAAUUGAAAUUGAAAACAAUCUCACUACAAAACACCUAAAAAUGCUGGAUAAAAUAUAUCAAACUUAUCUUUAAAUGCAUAUAGAAACUCAGUAACCUCGCAUUGGGGAAUAUAGAUUAUUGGCAUUUGGGGAUUUUAGGAAGUCCUUUAUAUCUGUAAAUAAAGUUUGUCAGUGAAAAGUGAAAGACAAAUCAGAAUU